GAUGAACGCUGGCGGCGUGCUUAACACAUGCAAGUCGAACGGUGAAGGCGGAGCUUGCUCUGCUGGAUCAGUGGCGAACGGGUGAGUAACACGUGAGCAAUCUGCCCCUGACUCUGGGAUAAGCGCUGGAAACGGCGUCUAAUACUGGAUACGAGCUGCGAAGGCAUCUUCAGCAGCUGGAAAGAAUUUCGGUCAGGGAUGAGCUCGCGGCCUAUCAGCUUGUUGGUGAGGUAAUGGCUCACCAAGGCGUCGACGGGUAGCCGGCCUGAGAGGGUGACCGGCCACACUGGGACUGAGACACGGCCCAUACUCCUACGGGAGGCAGCAGUGGGGAAUAUUGCACAAUGGGCGAAAGCCUGAUGCAGCAACGCCGCGUGAGGGACGACGGCCUUCGGGUUGUAAACCUCUUUUAGCAGGGAAGAAGCGAAAGUGACGGUACCUGCAGAAAAAGCGCCGGCUAACUACGUG
rnacentral:rRNA from 1 species